CCAUUUGUCAGAGCCUUAAAGGCGGCAUAAAAGAACCUACAAAAUUUUCGUUUAAUUCUGUAAACCUUAGACCGACAACUACUGAUUUGUUGCAGAAGAAAAAGGUACUGGAAUUUGCAAUUACUGAUUUAGCUCUAAUUCAAGUUUAAAUCUUUGGGCUGUAUUCUAGCUGCUCUGCAUGUUGAUAGAGCCAAGGGGAAAAGAUGGAAAACGGAGGAGGGUCCAAUGAAAUCCCGGAAAAUGCUCCUGAACAUUGUCCAGGUCCACAAUCAGAAACGGCAGGAAAAUCGGAUGUUUGCCAAGGAUGCCCCAA